rnacentral:rRNA from 1 species
ACUACGUGCCAGCAGCCGCGGUAAUACGUAGGGUGCGAGCGUUGUCCGGAAUUACUGGGCGUAAAGAGCUCGUAGGUGGUUUGUCGCGUUGUUCGUGAAAUCUCACGGCUUAACUGUGAGCGUGCGGGCGAUACGGGCAGACUAGAGUACUGCAGGGGAGACUGGAAUUCCUGGUGUAGCGGUGGAAUGCGCAGAUAUCAGGAGGAACACCGGUGGCGAAGGCGGGUCUCUGGG